rfam:Felis catus isolate Cinnamon breed Abyssinian chromosome C1, whole genome shotgun sequence.
AUCUGGGUGGCUCAGUCGUUUGAGCGUCUGACUUCAGCUCAGGUCAUGAUCUCACGGAUCGUGGGUUCAAGCCCCGCAUCGGGCU